UGGUGCGGCGCUCGCGCGCCGCAGGCAUCGAGUAGGUCGGGCCGCCUACC
rnacentral:ncRNA from 1 species